CUCGCACCUGGUGGGUCUUGAGUUCUCACCCCUGAGGCCGCCACAAGGGGGCGGGGCGUGCCUCCUCACAAGAGAGAACCAGAGACCGCCCCCGGAGGAUAAUGUAAUCACCUCAAGGCAAGGUACUUCUACAGAAGGGUAUACCCUUACAGAUGGAGCAAUGAUGUGCCUUGCUUCCCCUUAACCUUCCACUAUGACUGUAAGUUUCCUGAGGCCUCUUCAGCCAUGCAGAACCGUUUUGUUGAUUGAAGAACACAGAUGUGUGCAGCAACAGGGUUCCAUCAUGAUCUGCUGCAGCAAUCCUCAUGCGGGGCACCACCUGUCGAGUCUGUACCUCAGACUCUUGCCAAGUGAUGGAUGGAAGAAGUUCGCUGACACAGCAGGUGGGAGCAUUCUUCAAGUUUCUAAGAGGAGGUUAUAAAAUGGGCACCUUAGUGGGAAGGCAUGCAGUGUAGUUCAAGAUUCAACCAGC